GUACUCAGCAGCACAGAAACAAAAACUGGAACGAUACCGAGGAGAUUAGCAUAGCUCCAGUCCAAGGAUGACAUGCAAAUUUGUGAAACAUCCCAGAUGUAA